rnacentral:Y_RNA from 1 species
AGCUGGUCCAAAGGUAGCGAGUUAUCUCACUUGAUGGUUCACAGUUAGUUUCAGAUUGAAUUCCUUGUUCUACUACUUCCCCCCUCCUCACUACUGGACUUGACUAGUCUUUG